GGAAGAGAAAUCAGGUUCCGAGUGAAAUCAUAUAUACAAAAAUCUAAUUGGGUGUAUGAUUAUCCUCCUUUCCUUCAAUUUGCUUCCAACCAUACCUUAUGUUUCUCUCUUGAUGCAGUGGCUUUCUUACUAACAAGUCCCAACUAAGUGAGCCAUGGAGUAUAAGUAUAUACCCUGCCCCUGCUCCAGUGAAUGGAAGAUAGGGAUUCUACACCGAAACAGUAAAUUCCUGCUCCACCUCCGUCCAUGGAGCCCAGUUCCACUUCCAGUCUUUCAUGACUGAGGUUCUGGCAUUCUA
rnacentral:misc_RNA from 1 species